AUAUUGAUUGAUAAGUGAU
rnacentral:miRNA from 1 species